rnacentral:rRNA from 1 species
GAUGAACGCUGGCGGCGUGCUUAACACAUGCAAGUCGAACGAUGAAGCCCAGCUUGCUGGGUGGAUUAGUGGCGAACGGGUGAGUAACACGUGAGUAACCUGCCCUUAACUCUGGGAUAAGCCUGGGAAACUGGGUCUAAUACCGGAUAGGAGCGCCUACCGCAUGGUGGGUGUUGGAAAGAUUUAUCGGUUUUGGAUGGACUCGCGGCCUAUCAGCUUGUUGGUGAGGUAAUGGCUCACCAAGGCGACGACGGGUAGCCGGCCUGAGAGGGUGACCGGCCACACUGGGACUGAGACACGGCCCAGACUCCUACGGGAGGCAGCAGUGGGGAAUAUUGCACAAUGGGCGAAAGCCUGAUGCAGCGACGCCGCGUGAGGGAUGACGGCCUUCGGGUUGUAAACCCCUUUCAGUAGGGAAGAAGCGAAAGUGACGGUACCUGCAGAAGAAGCACCGGCUAACUACGUG